GUUUGAUCUAAAUUGAUAAAUGCAUAAUCUGUGUUCUGUUUCCAGAGCGGUGUCCGCCCAUGUUAUGCAUUUGUGCCUUCUCCUGCUCUGCACUUUUAAAGCCCACUGUACGGCCAUCAUACACUACAUGGUUUGGCUGUGCUGCAGAAUUUGUGUGAUCAAGACGCUGAGCAAGUUUUCCUCAAUGAUCUGGAUCACCAUCACAGGCUGUGGCAUCUUGAUGUUACUGAUGAAACAUAUCCCUCUACUGUGAUCUACUGUGUGUCAGUGAAGCCUGCAUCAGUGCAGUGUGGCAGCUAAAUGUUGUAUUUGUAUGACUUAUUAUUGCACUUUUUGAAAAAACACACCGUGUUGAAGGGUGAUUUACACAGCUCUGCACUGCAUACAUCAGUUCAUGGACUUUCUCUCUGUUUAUGGCUGAUGUUAGGAAGAAUGUUAAGAAGGACUGAUAAAUUCACCGUUCACUUACACACGAAAACACUAGUCAAAAAGCUAAGGAAAGACAGUCAGGAGGGUUUGGAAUAUAGUAAUCAUGAUCAAAUAUGAUGACAUAUUACAGAUUAAAAUGGGCAUCAAAUAAAUGUAUGCAGUGAGGUGGGCUUGCUUUAUUUCAUAAUUAUUUUACUUUGUUAA